AAAGAGUAACAAGGUCUCCGUUGGUGAACCAGCGGAGGGAUCAUUA
rnacentral:rRNA from 1 species